rnacentral:tRNA from 1 species
GGAAGGGUGCAGCUCAGUGGUAGAGUACAUGCUUAGCAUGCAUGAGGUCCUGGGUUUAAUCCCCAGUACUUCCA